ensembl:lncRNA
UAGUGAGGAUGUUCUCAAGCUGAAGAAUUUCAGAGUGAAGCCAGGGACCCUUGGGCCUGUUGUUGGGUCCAUCCCUUAGCAGUCUCCCAGACUGUGGUGGCAUCCUGCUGCGAACACUGCCUGGGACAGGAUUUCCCCUUCUGCUUCUCCCAGAGGCUGUCCCUUUUCGGGUGGGGAAAUGUCACCUCAAGGCAUCCAGGACAGCAUGCUUGGUUCUCAAAGGCACCUGCCACACUGGCAUCGUCAUCUGUCUUCGGUGGCAGCUACUUCUGGUGGACAGGAUGAGGAGUGCUACCCAUCAAUUAAGAGAAAUGGCCCGUGAAGAGAUGGUUUUGCUCAGCAGAGUACAACGCUUUCAGAAUCACCCUGGCAAAUAAUGAUGCAUCGAUCCAGAAGCCCAGCCCUCUGACUCAGCAAGCUGAUAAGUGAUGGAGUGUGGAGGGGAGGAACAUGGGAAACCCUGGAGGGGCCAUCUGGCCCUUCACGCUCUGCACUUCCAUGCGCUGGCCUCACCAGUGUCACCUGGGGCUCAGCCUCACCCUUGUCCUUCUGAAGAGACCCGCUGGGGACACAGCUCAGCACGACUCUUUUGAACACAUGCAUUGGAGUCAGAAAUCCUGACCUUGAUGCGCCGGGGUACUUGACAUCCCUGACAUCUCCAGGCCCAACCCAUGGAAGUGGGAUCAACAGGCCUGCUUCCAUCUCCCCCCAGGAGCAUGGUGACACCCACUGUGACCUUCAGUAGAAAAGUGCUUUGGAAAGGACAAAAUUCCCCCACUGAUGGGGAUCAGGAGGAUUCUCAGAAUAUGGGGAUUGAAAAGAGAGGCUAAGGGUAAAUAUUCUAGAAUGAGGCAUAGUAAUGUCAGAAAACCAUUCUACUUCUAAGAGGAAAAAACAUCGCUGAGGCCUGUUAACGAGAAGGAAAGAUUUCCAAACUGUAUUUAAGUGUGGAUUUGGAUGGACACCAGCUCUGGGACCACCCCAAGGCCCUUUCUAUCUGUCUGACUGGACUCCCUGUGAUGUGUGUCAUCCACUGUGAAGUGGCUGCCUGGGAGGCUUGAAAAGAAAAUCCCAAUUGUCUUCUUUUUCUUUAUCUAUAGAUGACAGUUUUCCAGCAGGUUGAAAACUGUGGUCUGUCGAAGGAGGUUGGAGGCAGAGGGAGCGCUCUCCUUUGGCUGGACAUCUGCUAACACAGUCUGCCUUCUGAUUCUUUUUUCAAUUCCAAAGCAUAUUUCCUACAGGCAAGAAGCAGCUCUUCACCAAUGAGUACUGGAGCUAGACAGGGUGGAGGAGACCCAGGCCUGCAAACUGGGGGGGCUCUGCACUGGCAGUGGCCUUGAGCAUAAGAAAAUGCCCUCUGGUGCUCCAGCUCCUCUUUACUGGGAUGAUUAAAUGUAG